GAUGAACGCUGGCGGCGUGCCUAAUACAUGCAAGUCGAGCGAACGGACGAGAAGCUUGCUUCUCGGAUGUUAGCGGCGGACGGGUGAGUAACACGUGGAUAACCUACCUAUAAGACUGGGAUAACUUCGGGAAACCGGAGCUAAUACCGGAUAAUAUUUUGAACCGCAGGGUGGAAAAGUGAAAUACGGUCUUGCGGGCGGUUAUAGAUGGAUCCGCGGUGUAUCAGCUAGUUGGUGGGGUAGUGGCUUACCAAGGGAAUGACGCGGAGCCGACCGGAGGGGGUGACCGGCCACAUGGGGACUGAGAUACGGCCCAGACUCCUACGGGAGGCAGCAGUGGGGAAUAUUGCACAAUGGGCGGAAGCCUUAUGCAGCAACGCCGCGUGCGGGAUGACGGCCUUCGGGUUGUAAACCGAUUUCGCCUGUGACGAAGCGUGAGUGACGGUAAUGGGUAAAGAAGCACCGGCUAACUACGUG
rnacentral:rRNA from 1 species